CGUUGCAGGUGAUUACUUAGUGUUUUUUUAAAAGUAAACUAUUAAGCAUGAUUUUACCACACUCAUCUGCCAAUGGAUCUCAAACAUCAAUCAACUCAACAUUGCCUUAGUUUAUAGAUUCAUUCAGACGGACCAAUUGGUGUAUGUUAGCUUCUAUGAUAAUUCAUUCAAUUGCAUGCUAGUUUAUAAUUGGUUUUUGUGUCCUUAAAACUUACUAAUAUUCUUUUUCUUCAAUUUGGCAGGAGACACUUGAAUGAUAGGUGUACACUGAAGUUUGGAUAUGAAGUAAGUAUUAGAGUGCAUUAGUGCUGUUAGGACUUGGGGGGACUUCCUACACGCCACAAUUGUAGUUGCUAGUAUUUGGUUUGUUGUCUUUUUUAUUUUAUAGUUUGUAGGCUGGUCUCUUUAGAACAAAUAACUUUGUAAACUUUGUUGGUUUUUGGCAAUGAGAAUGAAUUUGAGAUAUCUUAAUCAUGUUGUGCAAAUGCUUUAUUAAAUUGUCAUCCAAAUUAAAAUCAAACAAUAGAUAUUCCCAUGGACAUCGACGUCUCUACAUAUUUCAAACGACAUUUAUAUGUCGUCUUAAAGUAAAAGAUGACCAUAUUGUAUGUCGUCUGAGGUAAGUAUCAGACGACAGAUAAGUGACGUUUGAAUACAUUUGAGUCGAGAGAAGAGGUUUGACGUAUGUCGUCUGAGAUAUAUUUAGACGACAAAAUAGUAACGUGUGAAUAAGUUUGAGAUGAGAGACGGCUGCUCACAUCUUUAGUAUUACUUUAGUUUUGACGAUACUUUUAUGUCGUUAAGAAGCUUUCUCACGACAGAAACUUUAAUUUUGUUACGAAUGUAGGUGCAUACAGACGACAGUUGCUUAUAUACAAUCUGUCGUCAAAGUUGUAUCAGACGUCUGACGAGGUCUGUCGACUGAAUGCUUAUCAGAUGACUGCUUGAUAGACGACAGCCGAAAAAGCAUUCAGACGACCGACCUGGCAGGUCGUCUGAAGCCAAAAUUGACGUAGUGUAAAAAAGUAUUAUGUACUCUUUUAAUUGAAGUGGAUUAUUAACAUUCAAUGAAGUUUUACUUUCUUUGAUUCUUAAUUUUGUUACAUAUGAAGUUCAAUUCAUAGUCAAACAAUAUAAGUGCUUAUAAAAAGCAACAAGAAUGUGAAUUCCAAUAGAAAAUCGGACAACAUAAGUCUUUAUAACAAGCAACAAAAAUAUGAAGUCUAAUAGACUAUCAGACGACAUAUAUAUGUAGUUGGUUUUCUAUUGAGACGACAUAUAGUCUAAUAAAUUUUCAAAUAUGAUAAUAUCAGACGACAUUAAAUUGUCAUUAGAAAACAACAGGUGAAUGUAUUUAUCGUUAUAGGUUCUGUAGCUUGACAAUUAGAUGCAGUGUAAGGUUGUAUCAACUACAUCUAUUUCAACAAAUCUUUCAUUUUUUCU
rnacentral:lncRNA from 1 species